UACAGAGGUGGCAAGCGUUGUUCGGAAUUACUGGGCGUAAAGGGCGCGUAGGCGGUUCGUUAAGUCCUGUGUGAAAUCCCCCGGCUCAACUGGGGAACUGCACAGGAAACUAGCGGGCUUGAGUUCGGGAGAGGGAAGCGGAAUUCCGGGUGUAGCGGUGAAAUGCGUAGAUAUCCGGAGGAACACCGGUGGCGAAGGCGGUAUCCUGGACCAACACUGACACUGAUGAGCGAAAUCCAGGGGAGCAAACGGG
rnacentral:rRNA from 1 species